UCAAAUUGGUUUCUAAGAUUUAUGUUAACUUAUACUUUCACCAAUAUUGUGAAUGCUUGUUUCUCUACACCUUAGCCAAUACUGUAGAGGGUAUCAUCAAUCCUGGGCUUUGCCAAGCUAAUAGGGGAGAAUGAUCAAAUUAUUUUAUUUAUUGAGUGGUUGAUUAUCACUUACUAUCUUUAUUGGUAAUUUGUAUUUUUUUUUGUGAAUUAUCUGUUCAUGUUCUUUAUCCAUUUUUCUAAUGAGCAAUGAUCUUUUUAUGUAUUGAUUUAUGAAAACUUUCCAUAUAUCAUGGAUAUUAACCCUGUGUCUGUGAUGCAACUGGUUUUCCCAGUCUUUGGAGUUGGCAUAUGGUAAGUUUUUCUUUUUCUUUUGGCAUUUAGAAAAGUGUGAGGUUCAGUGCUUGAGCACAGUAUCUUUGGAGACCUUAAUUGUCCUACUAAAUUAGAAAUCUGCCUCGUAUUCAGAUUUGGGAUAUGUAUAUAUAUUUCAUAAAAAAAUUUUUGGGAGUAAAAUUAAAUACAACAUACAAAAAUCACAUAAAUAUGUAACUUAUGAAUAUAUAUGUAUACAAGCAUUUAAUUUUUAUGAUUAAAAUACAAAUGGAAAAAUUACAUUAAAAAAUGUAUAGGCUAGUGAAUUAUUUUAAGGCAAAUGUGUCAUCACGCAGGUGAGAAGAUAGAACCUUGCUAGCUAUCCAAAGCUGUUCAAGUCUAUCUCCCAAUUACAAUCUCUGUAACCCUCAAGAGGAAUCACUGUCCUGACCCAGUGUGCAUCUCUAAUGAUUGUGGUCUGUCUUGUUUCAUUUUUUAUUUGAUAUGUCUUUUUAAGUUUCUCUUGAGCUAUAGGUUCUUCUCCCCCAUCUCUCUCAUUUUUUCCCUUGCAAAAUAUUUGUUGAUGAAAUCAGGUCACUCGUCCUGUAGAGUUUUCCAGAGUUUGGUUUUGCUGAUUACAUCCAUGUGGUGUAGUUUAAUGUGUUUUUCUGACUUCUGUACUUCCCAAGAAUUGGUAAUUGGAUCUAGAGGCUCUGUCAGCUUCAGGUUUGUUUGUGUAGGCAACACUGUUUCAUAGGUGGUGGUGUGUUCUUGCGUCAGGAAGCACUCAAUGUCUCUCCUUUUGUGAUGUUGGCAACCUUGCGGUUCAGUUCUUAGAUCCGGUGCUUUAUUGGGAUGACUGAGUGGUGAUAUUUUAAUUCUUACCAUUUCUUCUUUAUUAGCUAGAAUAUUUCUAUGAGAAACUUUAUCUUUUCUACACUACCUUUUAGUACAGUUUGUAGAGGAAAGGUAGGAUAAUUCUACAUUUUAUUUACCAGUUUUCAGUAGAGUUGGUUCCCUAGCAUUCUCCAGAGGUGACUGAUUAGUUUUUUUUUUUUUCUUUUUAAUGAACUUACGGAGAUAAACAUUCUUUUAUAAUCAUCACUUUCCUUGAAGAGAACCAGGAUUCUCGAUUAUGGACAAGUGGAGAUGCAGUUUUAAGACAGAAGAUAAAAAACUUUGUAUUCUGAAUUCAGAUCAGAAGUAUCAAUGUAAACUAAUGAGUAAAUGAAGCUGAUGAAGGUUUGGAAUUUAAGAAGAUACAGUAGGAGGGGAGAAAAGCCAAUUUUGUGAUGAGGACUGGCACACUGAACGGGAACGGCUACUAUGAAGAAGCUCGUGCUUUGAAAGGAGGAGCCGCUGGGACGAGUUUCACAAGCAGUAUUGUCACCAGGAGCGAAUGAGAUGAAGUAGAUGCAAGUCCUCAAUGAAACAUCCAGUGUUGUGCAGACCAAAGGGGGUGCCAGCUCUUGCACUACUUUACAUGGGAGAGAAAUAAACUUUUCUCUUGUUUCAACACCAAUAUUUUGAGUUUUCUAUGACAUGAGGCCAAACAGAAUCCUAACUGAUUUGAUCAGGAUAUGUCUCUCUCCAUUUAUUGAGGUUUUGAAAAAAUGUCCUUUAGAAAGCUCAUAUGCUUUUUCCCAAAAGGGUCUUGCAUAGCUUUUGUUUGACACACUCUUAGGUUUACUGUUGUCAUUAUGAAUUGGUAUCACACAGUGCAGAAUGUACAUUUGGGUUUUUUCCCCAUUCAGCACUGUUUUUGAGCUGGUCCUGGUUAAUGUAUAAGGAUCUAAC